GUGGCAGCCAAGGACCCUUUUAAUGAUUUGAUUCACACACAACCCCUAUUCAUUAUUUUCAGAUUAUAGGAGCUUAAGAAAGAGACCUGCGAUAUUCUCCCAAGGAUUUUCCUAACACCCAAGAGUGGAACCAUAAGAUAAAAUCAAGGUUUGAUCCACAGAAAGUUGGUAGAAGCUUACUAGUGUGCUUCUAACCUAGAGAGCGUGAUUUGCAGGUUUAUUCAUGGUGAAGUAGUCUCUGAUUUGAGUUGUUCUUGUUGUUCUAAGAGCAGCGUAUUGGUGAGUCGCUUGCGGAUUUGUGAAGGACGACUACAAUUGAAGGUUCAGAUAGGCAGCUAGAGAGACCGCCCGAGUAGAUUUGUCGAUUACCAGCCAGUGUGGUAUGCUCCAUGUUAUUCAGAGUUACCCAGUCCAUAGUUUUGUGUAUUUACAAAUGAUGGGUAGGUCGGGGCCUUGUCCCUACCAUAGUACAAUCAUUACUCUUUAGAGGCUUGUAGACGUAUCUUGUAUGUUAUGUAUGUCAGUGUGGCGGCCUCUUUGGCCUGCGCAGUUUUAUACAUAUAUGUUUUGAG